UACGUAUGGAGCAAGCGUUAUCCGGAUUUACUGGGUGUAAAGGGAGCGCAGGCGGUCUGGCAAGUCUGAUGUGAAAGGCCGGGGCUCAACUCCGGGACUGCAUUGGGAACUGUCAGACUGGAGUGUCGGAGAGGUAAGCGGAAUUCCUAGUGUAGCGGUGAAAUGCGUAGAUAUUAGGAGGAACACCAGUGGCGAAGGCGGCUUACUGGACGAUGACUGACGCUGAGGCUCGAAAGCGUGGGGAGCAAACAGG
rnacentral:rRNA from 1 species